rnacentral:rRNA from 1 species
UUCGCAAUGCCCGAAAGGGUGAACGAGCGACGCCGCGUGCGGGAUGAAGGCCUUCGGGUUGUAAACCGCUGUCACGCAUUAAGAAGGGCCCGGCGUUGACAGCGCUGGGCUUUGACAAAGGUGCGGGAGGAAGCCACGGCUAACUCUGUGCCAGCAGCCGCGGUAAGACAGAGGUGGCGACCGUUGUUCGGAAUCACUGGGCAUAAAGCGCGUGUAGGCGGCAUCGUAAGUCGGGUGUGAAAUCCCUCGGCCUAACCGAGGAAUUGCGCCCGAAACUACCUUGCUUGAGGACCAGAGGGGAGCCUGGAAUUCCUGGUGGAGCGGUGAAAUGCGUUGAUAUCAGGAGGAACACCGGCGGCGAAGGCGAGGCUCUGGCUGGUUACUGACGCUGAGACGCGAAAGCUAGGGGAGCAAACGGGAUUAGAUACCCCGGUAGUCCUAGCCGUAAACGAUGGGCACUAAGUAGAGGGGUUUU